rnacentral:lncRNA from 1 species
ACCCCAGAGGAGAUGGAAGGGGCAAGGGAGGCCCAGCCCCACCUUGGGGAGCAGGAAGCCGCCCAGCUGUGUGUCAGCGGCGGUGCAGCGGGGCACGUGCGGCAGGAGCGUGAUGAACCGCUGCACCUCGUGGAGCACAGCGCUUGUGUAGGGCAGAGCCUCCUGGUCCUCCAGCCGGGGUGGCCGCCCAGGGCCCAGCACGCGGUCUAGCUCCUCCUGCACCCGGCCUGGGGCAAAGGGUGGGCCGCUUGGGUGGCAGCACCAUCUCUCGGCCCUGGGGGUCCCCCGGGGGCAGAAGGAGCCGUCUCGCCAGGCACCAGGGUCUCACCCUGCACGUCCGGGUGCCGGCCCAUCAGAAGUGCGGCCCACUGCAGCGUGGCCGAGGUCGUCUCCGUCCCGGCCAUGACCAUGUCCAGGGUGCAGGCCACCGCGUUGGCCUCAGCAAACAGGCCCUCGGGGUCAUCCCCCUGCAGAGGCGUGGGGCAGGGCUCGUGGGAUGAUCUGGGGUCUGUCCCCCACCCCACAGACCCAGCCCAGCCCUGGGCUCCACUAUGGAUGCCCCGGUGAUCUGGGCUCAGCCAUCCCCCGGCGUCUCCGAGGCAGGCACUAUGGAUGCCCCGUUUCACAGACAAGGAGACUGAGGCUCUGGGAGGCCCCCAGCCAGGAGGUAGGGAGCUUGGUGCAGGACCGGUAUGGACCCCUCCCCAGCCGUGCUCCCCUGGGGUGUCCCUCAGGACCCCUACAGGCCUUCAAGGAGGUCUUGGGUCCCGACACACCUGUCCCUGCUGGAUCAGGGCGUCCACAUAGCUGCGCACGGGGUCCCCCGGGCACAUGUGGGGCCUCCGCGCCUCCAGGAGGGUCCUCAGAAUGGCACGGACCUCCUCAAUCUUGCGCAGGACGGGCCGGUGCAGCUGGAGCAGGGCCCCGAGCCACGGGUAGACGUUGAACAGCUGGGCAGGAGGCAGGAGGAGCGGAGAUAAGGACACAGCCCCAGGGCUGCACACUGGGCAGGCGGUGAUCGUCCCCAGCGGCUGUGUUCACGCCCAGGGACUCUGGGUGGAUGUGCUGGAGGCGGCCACAGAACGGGGACCCUUAGCCCUCAAGGGAGGACCAGGUCUGUGGUAAGGAGCUGGCACCAGCAGGGAAGGCCAGGGAAUGCUCUGCUGCCCUGGGGCUGCCCCGGACCACGCAGUGCCAUGCAGCCUCCAUCUUCCAGGUGGGCUCUGGGCCCGCCUGGCUCCACCAGCAGGCAGGGUGGUCUCACCCUGGCUAGGACGGGUGGAAGCUGUGCCCCCUGCUCUCGCUUGUGAACCCACCGCUGCUCACUCACUCCCGUCACGGCCCUGCCUCUGGGAAGCCAGGAGGACUAGGACCCGUGGUCUCUGGGUCCAGCCGUGAUGCAGGUAUCACACCUGAGAUGCAGGCUUCGGUAAACACACAUCAAAUACCAU